rnacentral:misc_RNA from 1 species
GGCAUCCUUCAAGGAAACCAGGCUCUCUUUUGGGUGGUGGUGCUGCAUAUUGUGGAGGUGCCAUCACUGGGGGUCCUUGAUAAUAACCUUGAGCAGGGUAAGGAUAAGCAUACUUUGGGUCACUCAUUUCUGCUAAACAAAAACAAACAAAAACAAGAACAAGAUUUUCAAAUUAUAACAGUAGAGACUCUGUAGUUUCAAUUUAAGAGACACAGACCAUAAGUAGUCAGGAAUUCUCUAGAGAUCAACUUAUUGCGAAAAUACAACUUUUCGGUUAGAUUUUAUAUCAAAAACAGGGAAAG